AGAGUUCGAUCAUGGCUCAGGACGAACGCUGGCGGCGUGCCUAACACAUGCAAGUCGAGCGGGGAUUUAAGUGGAAGUUCUUCGGAAUGGAGAUUUAAAUUCUAGCGGCGGACGGGUGAGUAACGCGUGAACAAUCUGUCCCGGACAGGGGGAUAACACUUGGAAACAGGUGCUAAUACCGCAUAAGACCACAGCAUCGCAUGGUGCAGGGGUAAAAGGAGCAAUCCGGUUCGGGGUGAGUUCGCGUCCGAUUAGCUAGUUGGUGAGGUAACGGCCCACCAAGGCGACGAUCGGUAGCCGGCCUGAGAGGGUGAACGACCACAUUGGAACUGAGAGACGGUCCAA
rnacentral:rRNA from 1 species